rnacentral:rRNA from 1 species
UACGUAGGGGGCAAGCGUUGUCCGGAUUUAUCGGGCGUAAAGCGCGUGUAGGCGGCCAUACAGGUCCGUUGUGAAAACUCGAGGCUUAACCUCGAGACGUCGAUGGAAACCGUAUGGCUAGAGUCCGGAAGAGGAGAGUGGAAUUCCUGGUGUAGCGGUGAAAUGCGCAGAUAUCAGGAAGAACACCCGUGGCGAAGGCGGCUCUCUGGGACGGUACUGACGCUGAGACGCGAAAGCGUGGGGAGCGAACAGG